CAAGCGGGAAAGGGCACAUGGUGGAUGCCUUGGCAUCAAGGGCCGAUGAAGGACGUAGCAAGGCUGCGAUAAGCCUCGGUCAGCUGCCUAGCAAGCUUAGCCGUGGAUAUCCGAAUGGGGCAACCCACUCAGGUAAAACCUGGGUACCCCCAGCUGAACACAUAGGCUGGGUGGAGGUAAGCAGGGGAAGUGAAACAUCUCAGUACCCUGAGGAAAAGAAAUCAAGAGAGAUUCCCUGAGUAGUGGCGAACGAAAAGGGAACAGCCCAAACCCUAUAAGCUUAGUGGCUCUGGGGCCUAUGCUUAUGGGGGGUUGCAAGUCAGGCCGGACUUUAGCCCAGAAUAGGUCAAGGAGUUACAAACCCAACCCUAGUUGAAGGUCCCUGGAAAGGGUAACCAUAGAGGGUGACAGUCCCGUAAACGAAAAGGGGUAAGCUCCUAGCCUGCACUUAAGUACCACGGGACACGAGGAAUCCUGUGGGAAGCUGCCCUGACCACAGGGCAAGGCUAAAUACCCUUGAUGACCGAUAGCGAACCAGUACCGUGAGGGAAAGGUGAAAAGAACCCCGGGAGGGGAGUGAAAUAGAAUCUGAAACUAUGUGCUUACAAGCAGUCGGAGGAGUCCUUCGGGGCUCUGACGGCGUGCCUAUUGAAGAAUGAGCCGGUGAGUUAAUCUGUGUGGCUGGUUAAGUCACUCAAGUGACGGAGCCGUAGCGAAAGCGAGUCCUAAUAGGGCGACUUUGUUGCACGGAUUAGACCCGAAGCCGGGUGAGCUACCCAUGGCCAGGGUGAAGCUUCGAUAAAAUCGAAGUGGAGGCCCGAACUGGUCAGUGAUGCAAAACUGUCAGAUGAGCUGUGGGUAGAGGUGAAAUGCCAACCGAACCCGGUGAUAGCUGGUUCUCCCCGAAAUGCAUUGAGGUGCAGCCUCAGGUAUUAGUUAAUGGAGGUAGGGCUCUGGAUGGACUAGGGGGCAAGCAGCUUACCAACUCCAACCAAACCGCAAAUGCCAUUAACCUCAAACCUGGGAGUGAGACUGCGGGGGAUAAGCUCCGUAGUCGAGAGGGAAACAGCCCAGACCAUCAGCUAAGGUCCCCAAGCGCGGACUAAGUGGGCAAGGAAGUAGGACUGCCCAGACAUCCAGGAGGUUGGCUUAGAAGCAGCCAUCCUUUAAAGAAUGCGUAACAGCUCACUGGUUGAGUGGUGCUGCGCCGACAAUCCAACGGGGCUUAAGUCCGCCACCGAAGCUAUGGAUUCUUCACUUGUGAAGGAUGGUAGGGGAGCGUUCCCUAAGCCAUAAAGCCGUUUCGUGAGGAAUGGUGGAGCUUAGGGAAGUGAGAAUGCCGGCAUGAGUAGCGUAAGGUGUGUGAGAAACACACCCACCGAAAACCUAAGGUUUCCUACGGAAGGUUAAUCCGCGUAGGGUUAGUCGGGCCUAAGCCGAGGCCGAAAGGCGUAGGCGAUGGACAACGGGUCAACAUUCCCGUACCGCUUCUGCGGAGGCAAAGGGGGGACACGGGAGGGCAGGCCAAGCGUGCCCAACGGACAUGGUGCGUCCCUCAUUAUAGGUGAAGCUGGGGCAGGUAAAUCCACCCCAGAUAUUAUAGCUGAAGAUGAGGGGAAGUUGAGGGGAGACCCAAAGCGACUUGGCUGUACCCAAGCCGUCGAGAAAAGCCUCGUUGCCAUUGAAGCAGUAGCGCCCGUACCGCAAACCGACUCUGGUAGGUAGGGAUAAUAGUCCCAAGGUGAUCGGGAUAACCCUCGUUAAGGAACUCGGCAAUCUAACCCCGUAACUUCGGGAUAAGGGGUGCCCUUAUUUUAAGGGUGGCACAUAACAGGCCCAAGCGACUGUUUAACAAAAACACAGGUCUCUGCCAAAGCGAAAGCUGAAGUAUAGGGGCUGAUACCUGCCCAGUGCUGGAAGGUUAAGGAGAGGUGUCAUGAUUUUUAAUCGGCAGCACCGAACUGAAGCCCCAGUGAACGGCGGCCGUAACUAUAACGGUCCUAAGGUAGCGAAAUCCCUUGUCGGGUAAGUUCCGACCCGCACGAAAGGUGUAACGACUUGGGCGCUGUCUCAACGAGGGACUCGGUGAAAUUGAAAUACCCGUGAAGAUGCGGGUUACCCGCGACAGGACAAAAAGACCCCGUGGAGCUUUACUACAGCUUGGCACUGGGUCUGGACUCAUCAUGUGUAGGAUAGGUGGGAGGCUUUGAAGCCGGGGCGUCAGCUUCGGUGGAGCCAACGUUGAAAUACCACUCUUGGUGAGUUUAGCCUCUAACCCCUGAUCAAGCAGGGGGACAGUGUCUGGUGGGUAGUUUGACUGGGGCGGUCGCCUCCUAAAAGGUAACGGAGGCGUCCAAAGGUCCCCUCAGGGUGGAUGGAAAUCACCCGUAGAGCGCAUUGGUAUAAGGGGGCUUGACUGUGAGACUUACAAGUCGAGCAGGUGCGAAAGCAGGGCAAAGUGAUCCCACGGUACCGUGUGGAAGGGCCGUGGCUUAACGGAUAAAAGCUACCCCGGGGAUAACAGGCUUAUCUUGCCCAAGAGUUCACAUCGACGGCAAGGUUUGGCACCUCGAUGUCGGCUCGUCGCAUCCUGGGGCUGAAGCAGGUCCCAAGGGUCCGGCUGUUCGCCGGUUAAAGCGGCACGCGAGCUGGGUUCAGACCGUCGUGAGACAGGUCGGUCUCUAUCCGUCGUGGGCGUCCGGAGAUUUGAGGGGGGCUCUCUCUAGUACGAGAGGAUUGAGAGGGACAGACCUAUGGUGUGCCAGCUGUUCCGCCAGGAGCAUCGCUGGGUAGCUACGUCUGGUUGGGAUAAGCGCUGAAAGCAUCUAAGUGCGAAGCUCGCCCCAAGAUUAUAUCUCCCAUCCUCUUCCUUCGGGUUGAGGAGUAAGACCGCAAGUAGACUACUUGUUUGAUAGGCGGUGGGUGUAAGUGCAGUAAUGUAUUUAGCUUAACCGUACUAAUGGUCGAGGGCUUGACC
rnacentral:rRNA from 1 species